rnacentral:rRNA from 1 species
UGGGGAAUAUUGCACAAUGGGGGAAACCCUGAUGCAGCGACGCCGCGUGGAGGAAGAAGGUCUUCGGAUUGUAAACUCCUGUCCCAGGGGACGAUAAUGACGGUACCUUCAAAGGAAGCACCGGCUAACUCCGUGCCAGCAGCCGCGGUAAUACGGAGGGUGCGAGCGUUAAUCGGAAUUACUGGGCGUAAAGCGCUCGUAGGUAGUAUAUCAAGUCAAGGGUGAAAUCCCCGCGCUCAACGUGGGAACUGCCUUUGAAACUGGUAGACUUGAGUGUGUGAGAGGAUAGUGGAAUUCCAGGUGUAGGAGUGAAAUCCGUAGAUAUCUGGAGGAACAUCAGUGGCGAAGGCGACUAUCUGGCACAUAACUGACACUGAGGAGCGAAAGCGUGGGUAGCAAACAGGAUUAGAUACC